ACCUUCCCAGCAUGUUUCGACUGCUCCCUGCUGAGCUGGUGUACCUCACCAUAGUGCAUGCACUGUAGUGUCUGCUGCUGCAGUUGUCUUCACCAAAGCAAAGGAAGACAGAAAAUGCAGGGAAAGAGGGGUCUCCAGGAAACAAUAACUGCUGCCAGAGGAGGAUGCUGGGUGACAGCAUGGAGAAGGUUUCCUGUAAGGACAUAAUCAGAGGUUCUGCUGGCAUCAGCAGGAGGUGACCGUCACAGAGACCCCUAUAUCCCGCUGCUGCCUAGGCACAGCAGUCCUGCCUUCCCCAGCCCGCGGGGACCACCGGAGCCCACGGGGAUCCCGCAGCACCGCAGGUAGUUCCCAACAGCGGCCGACGCCGUGGAUCCCACCGUCGUGUUCUGCGGGGGGGAGGGAGGCAGGUAACCAACCUGGGACUCGGGUGGAGGACUGGGCACAAGGCAUCCGUGAAAGAAACAGCUCAGCUGGGAAGGAGACGGAGCCCGUCUCGCUCUUGACUUACCCAGG